UACGGAGGGGGCUAGCGUUGUUCGGAAUUACUGGGCGUAAAGCGCACGUAGGCGGCUUUGUAAGUUAGAGGUGAAAGCCCGGGGCUCAACUCCGGAAUUGCCUUUAAGACUGCAUCGCUAGAAUUGUGGAGAGGUAAGUGGAAUUCCGAGUGUAGAGGUGAAAUUCGUAGAUAUUCGGAAGAACACCAGUGGCGAAGGCGACUUACUGGAUCAUUACUGACGCUGAGGCUCGAAAGCGUGGGGAGCAAACAGG
rnacentral:rRNA from 1 species